GUCUAUGGCCAAGCUACCCUGAACAAGCCUGAUCCCGUUUGAUCUCAGAAGCAAAGCAGGGUUGGGCCUGGUUAGUACUUGAAUGGGAGACCGCCUAGGAAGACCAGCUGCUAUAGGCU
rnacentral:rRNA from 1 species